rnacentral:tRNA from 1 species
GCUCCUGUAGUGUAGUCCGGCCAAUCAUAAAGCCCUCUCAAGGCUUUGACCCGGGUUCAAAUCCCGGCGGGAGCG